UACGAAGGGGGCUAGCGUUGUUCGGAAUUACUGGGCGUAAAGCGCGCGCAGGCGGCUAUCCAAGUCAGUGGUGAAAGCCCGGAGCUCAACUCCGGAACUGCCAUUGAAACUGUAUAGCUUGAGGAUGAGAGAGGUGAGUGGAAUUCCCAGUGUAGAGGUGAAAUUCGUAGAUAUUGGGAAGAACACCGGUGGCGAAGGCGGCUCACUGGCCCAUUACUGACGCUGAGGCGCGAAAGCGUGGGGAGCAAACAGG
rnacentral:rRNA from 1 species